rnacentral:rRNA from 1 species
UACGUAGGGGGCAAGCGUUGUCCGGAAUUAUUGGGCGUAAAGAGCGUGUAGGCGGUCCGGUAAGUCAGCUGUGAAAGUCAAGGGCUCAACCCUUGAAAGCCGGUUGAUACUGUCGGGCUAGAGUCCGGAAGAGGCGAGUGGAAUUCCCGGUGUAGCGGUGAAAUGCGCAGAUAUCAGGAGGAACCCCGGUGGCGAAGGCGGGUCUCUGGGCCGAUACUGACGCUGAGGAGCGAAAGCGUGGGGAGCGAACAGG